rnacentral:lncRNA from 1 species
AAUGUAACUAUAGAAAAUCCAGUCAAAACAAAUUGAGUAAUUAUCAUAAGCUUAAAUUCAAGAAAGUUUGGAUUCCAAAAGGAACAUCAAGUACUAACCCUAAAGGACCCAACAUAGUUUGGGUACCUAAAGCUCAUUCUUGAUCUUGAUUGCAGGGGUGUCUUGCAGCUAAUAAAGUGAAAAAAUGAUGGUAUCUAGAUAGCGGCUGUUCAAGACACAUGACCGGUGACGUAGACCAAUUUGUCACCUUGGAAUCUAAGAAGGGUGGAGUAGUAACCUAUGGAGACAAUGGAAAAGGUUAUAUCAUUGGAAAG